GACGAACGCUGGCGGCGUGCUUAACACAUGCAAGUCGAACGGAAAGGCCCUGCUUUUGUGGGGUGCUCGAGUGGCGAACGGGUGAGUAACACGUGAGUAACCUGCCCUUGACUUUGGGAUAACUUCAGGAAACUGGGGCUAAUACCGGAUAGGAGCUCCUGCUGCAUGGUGGGGGUUGGAAAGUUUCGGCGGUUGGGGAUGGACUCGCGGCUUAUCAGCUUGUUUGUGGGGUAGUGGCUUACCAAGGCUUUGACGGGUAGCCGGCCUGAGAGGGUGACCGGCCACAUUGGGACUGAGAUACGGCCCAGACUCCUACGGGAGGCAGCAGUGGGGAAUAUUGCACAAUGGGCGGAAGCCUGAUGCAGCAACGUCGCGUGCGGGAUGACGGCCUUCGGGUUGUAAACCGCUGUCGCCUGUGACGAAGCGUGAGUGACGGUAAUGGGUAAAGAAGCACCGGCUAACUACGUG
rnacentral:rRNA from 1 species